rnacentral:tRNA from 1 species
UCCCUGGUGGUCCAGUGGUGAAGACCCCGCACUUCCAGUGUGGGGGACACGGGUUCGAUCCCUGGUCUGGGAG